rnacentral:rRNA from 1 species
GGCUCAGAUUGAACGCUGGCGGCAGGCCUAACACAUGCAAGUCGAACGGUAACAUUUCUAGCUUGCUAGAAGAUGACGAGUGGCGGACGGGUGAGUAAUGCUUGGGAACUUGCCUUUGCGAGGGGGAUAACAGUUGGAAACGACUGCUAAUACCGCAUAAUGUCUUCGGACCAAACGGGGCUUUUAGCUCCGGCGCAAAGAGAGGCCCAAGUGAGAUUAGCUAGUUGGUAAGGUAACGGCUUACCAAGGCGACGAUCUCUAGCUGUUCUGAGAGGAAGAUCAGCCACACUGGGACUGAGACACGGCCCAGACUCCUACGGGAGGCAGCAGUGGGGAAUAUUGCACAAUGGGGGAAACCCUGAUGCAGCCAUGCCGCGUGUGUGAAGAAGGCCUUCGGGUUGUAAAGCACUUUCAGUUGUGAGGAAAAGUUAGUAGUUAAUACCUGCUAGCCGUGACGUUAACAACAGAAGAAGCACCGGCUAACUCCGUGCCAGCAGCCGCGGUAAUACGGAGGGUGCGAGCGUUAAUCGGAAUUACUGGGCGUAAAGCGCACGCAGGCGGGUUUGUUAAGCUAGAUGUGAAAACCCCNGGGCUCAACCUGGGAUGGUCAUUUAGAACUGGCAGACUA